UAUGUUGGGCUGUCCUUCAUUUCUAGCUCGCAAACAACUCCCCAGACGGCGCUUUUUACUUGAAAAAGGUCCAUUACACAUUCCCCGUCAUCAGUUUUACAGGCCGCCAUGUCGCUCGGGCUGCGGGAAAGCCGACCGCGGACUCGUGAACCAGAUUCAAGUGGCCGUGCUCGGACAGCAGUUGACACGCAGGUGCGUCUACCUUCCCAGAGUGUGCGUGGCCGAUGGUGGUCAGGCACGCAAAUGAUGACUGCGUGAUUUAUCGUACAAUCACGAAUACUGAC